CGAACGCUGGCGGCAUGGAUUAGGCAUGCAAGUUGAACGAACUCCUUCGGGAGUGAGUAGCGGAAGGGUGAGGAACGCGUGAGUAAUCUGCCCCCCAGUUGGGAAUAACAGUUGGAAACGACUGCUAAUACCGAAUGUGGCUUAAGCUUCGCCUGGAGCUUUGGCUAAAGAUUUAUCGCUGGGGGAUGAGCUCGCGUCCCAUUAGGUAGUUGGUGAGGUAACGGCUCACCAAGCCGACGAUGGGUAGCUGGUCUGAGAGGAUGGUCAGCCACACUGGGACUGAGACACUGCCCAGACUCCUACGGGAGGCUGCAGUCGAGAAUCUUGGGCAAUGCGCGAAAGCGUGACCCAGCAAUGCCGCGUGUAUGAUGAAGGCCCUCGGGUCGUAAAGUACUGUCUCCCGUGACGAAAUUUGACGGUAGCGGGGAAGGAAGCCACGGCUAACUACGUGCCAGCCGCCGC
rnacentral:rRNA from 1 species